UACGUAGGGACCGAGCGUUGUCCGGAAUCAUUGGGCGUAAAGAGCGUGUAGGCGGCCACUUAAGUCCUGCGUGAAAUCUUGCGGCUCAACCGCAAGCGGUCGUGGGAAACUGGGUGGCUAGAGUGCGGGAGAGGAGAGUGGAAUUCCUGGUGUAGCGGUGGAAUGCGCAGAUAUCAGGAAGAACACCCGUGGCGAAGGCGGCUCUCUGGACCACAACUGACGCUGAGGCGCGAAAGCUAGGGGAGCAAACAGG
rnacentral:rRNA from 1 species